UGACGUAAGAAAUUUGACAUGCUCAAAAAUCCUGCAGAAAUGCAAAAUUGACUGGCCUGAUGAACUCGGGAUGGCCGGGCAGUGAUAGUUGUUCCUUUCCAUCACUCGUUGUGUUGACUUCAUCAUGUCCAUUUUGUGAUGUUUUUCACUAUAUAAUCAUAUUGCAAGUGCACGUGCAUUUGCAAUAUGUUUCAAUGUGCAUUUACCAUAUGAAAUUUGACCUUGCUCAAAAAUGCAAAAUUGACUGGUCUGAUGAACACAGGAUGGCCGAGCAGUGAUAGUUGUACAUUUCCUCACUCGUUGUGUUGAUUUCAUCAUCUCCGUUAGGUGAUGUUGUUUCACUAUAGAAUCAUAUUGUAAGUGCACGUGCAUUUGCAAUAUGUUUCAAUGUGCAUUUACCAUAUGAAAUUUGACCUUGCUCAAAAAUGCAAAAUUGACUGGUCUGAUGAACACAGGAUGGCCGAGCAGUGAGAGUUGUACCUUUCCAUCACUCGUUGUGUUGAUUUCAUCAUGUCCAUUUGUUUAUGUUUUCUCACUUUUGCAAAGUCACUGUGCAUUUGCAAUAUGGUUCAAUGGGCAGGUACCAUCACGAAUUUGUCAUGCUAUAAAAAUCCUGCAGGAAUGUGAAAUUGACUGGCCUGAUGAACACAGGAUGGCCUGGCAGUGAUAGUUGUUCCUUUCCAUCACUCGUUGUGUUGAUUUCAUCAUGUCCAUUAGGUGAUGUUUUUUCACUAUAGAAUCAUAUUGCAAAUGCACGUGCAUUGUUGUGCAACUGGUAACCCAAAAAUAAAAAUAUGGUUGUAAAUGCAUUUACCGGGACGCCUAUUGUCCAUGCCCGCUAUGGGAGUACCCUACUACGGCCCUCUAUCUAUGGAGUCCGUCCUGAGUGCUUUAUGGACUGUUUAAAAUAUUCUGAUGGAUACGCAUGUUGUGCAACUGGUGAUUGAAAAUAGGCACCUGGUAACCCCCCAAAAAAUAUGCUUGUAAAUGCAUUUACCGGUCAUUCUGAUAUUAAUGCUCGCUAUGGGAACACAGGAUGGCCUGGCAGUGAUAGUUGUUCCUUUCCAUCACUCGUUGUGUUGAUUUCAUCAUGUCCAUUAGGUGAUGUUUUUACACUAUAGAAUCAUAUUGCAAGUGCGCGCGCAUUUGCAAUAUGUUUCAAUGUGCAUUUACCAUAUGAAAUUUGACAUGCUCAAAAAUGCAAAAUUGACUGGUCUGAUGGACACAGGAUGGCCGAGCAGUGAUAGUUGUACAUUUCCAUCACUCGUUGUGUUGAUUUCAUCAUGUCCAUUAGGUGAUGUUUUUUACACUAUAGAAUCAUAUUGCAAGUGCGCGCGCAUUUGCAAUAUGUUUCAAUGUGCAUUUACCAUAUGAAAUUUGACAUGCUCAAAAAUGCAAAAUUGACUGGUCUGAUGGACACAGGAUGGCCGAGCAGUGAUAGUUGUACAUUUCCAUCACUCGUUGUGUUGAUUUCAUCAUGUCCAUUAGGUGAUGUUUUUACACUAUAGAAUCAUAUUGCAAGUGCGCGCGCAUUUGCAAUAUGUUUCAAUGUGCAUUUACCAUAUGAAAUUUGACAUGCUCAAAAAUGCAAAAUUGACUGGUCUGAUGGACACAGGAUGGCCGAGCAGUGAUAGUUGUACAUUUCCAUCACUCGUUGUGUUGAUUUCAUCAUGUCCAUUAGGUGAUGUUUUUUCACUAUAGAAUCAUAUUGCAAAUGCACGUGCAUUGUUGUGCAACUGGUAACCCAAAAAUAAAAAUAUGGUUGUAAAUGCAUUUACCGGUCAUUCUGAUAUUAAUGCUCGCUAUGGGAACACAGGAUGGCCGGGCAGUGAUAGUUGUACAUUUCCAUCACUCGUUGUGUUGAUUUCAUCAUGUCCAUUAGGUGAUGUUUUUACACUAUAGAAUCAUAUUGCAAGUGCGCGCGCAUUUGCAAUAUGUUUCAAUGUGCAUUUACCAUAUGAAAUUUGACAUGCUCAAAAAUGCAAAAUUGACUGGUCUGAUGGACACAGGAUGGCCGAGCAGUGAUAGUUGUACAUUUCCAUCACUCGUUGUGUUGAUUUCAUCAUGUCCAUUAGGUGAUGUUUUUUCACUAUAGAAUCAUAUUGCAAAUGCACGUGCAUUGUUGUGCAACUGGUAACCCAAAAAUAAAAAUAUGCUUGUAAAUGCAUUUACCGGUCAUUCUGAUAUUAAUGCUCGCUAUGGGAACACAGGAUGGCCGGGCAGUGAUAGUUGUACAUUUCCAUCACUCGUUGUGUUGAUUUCAUCAUGUCCAUUAGGUGAUGUUUUUACACUAUAGAAUCAUAUUGCAAGUGCGCGCGCAUUUGCAAUAUGUUUCAAUGUGCAUUUACCAUAUGAAAUUUGACAUGCUCAAAAAUGCAAAAUUGACUGGUCUGAUGGACACAGGAUGGCCGAGCAGUGAUAGUUGUACAUUUCCAUCACUCGUUGUGUUGAUUUCAUCAUGUCCAUUAGGUGAUGUUUUUUCACUAUAGAAUCAUAUUGCAAAUGCACGUGCAUUGUUGUGCAACUGGUAACCCAAAAAUAAAAAUAUGGUUGUAAAUGCAUUUACCGGUCAUUCUGAUAUUAAUGCUCGCUAUGGGAACACAGGAUGGCCGGGCAGUGAUAGUUGUACAUUUCCAUCACUCGUUGUGUUGAUUUCAUCAUGUCCAUUAGGUGAUGUUUUUUCACUAUAGAAUCAUAUUGCAAAUGCACGUGCAUUGUUGUGCAACUGGUAACCCAAAAAUAAAAAUAUGCUUGUAAAUGCAU